rnacentral:lncRNA from 1 species
GUAGUACUGUCCCUGGCAAACAGACGCAUAACUGUGCAUUGUUCUUUGGGAUUUUGAGAGCCUUCAUCUCAAUUUCAACUUUAAAGCAGCUUAAUCUUUAAGGAACAUAUCUCUGAUCUGGGUAAUUUGUAGAACUUAAUUUGAGGGUCAUUACAUGUGAGGAUAGCAGGAGUUGAAGAUGCCAAGGACCUGAAGGGCUACUGGAGGGACAGGUGAAGUGAUUUGAAGAUGUAGCAUUUUGAAUCUCUUUCUGGCCCAUCCUCUGCUUCACACCAGAAUCAUUGUGACCUGUAGACCUGCAAAACAAAGGACCAAAGGUCUGGGGAAAAGCAGCAGCAAAAAUGAGUUCUUACUUCUGGGCACAAAAUGAAAGUAACAGACCUGAUUUACUCUGCGGGCAGCCAGCUGACUACCUUGUUGAAGAGAAACAUUUCACAACGCUUGUAUGCUUCAUUGUUGUUUUGGGAGGUGCACCAAAUUGUCUACCCUCUUCUAAGAACAUCAAGUUUUUCACUUUAUUCUUACUUUUCACCUUUAAUUAUAUUUAUGGUUGCUUUGGAUGUAGAAUUUUAUACACUCAAGAAAAUGUUUUGGCAGGUUGAUAAUUUCUGCUUCUUUUUAAAAACUAGUUUAGUCCAUUAGUAUUUAUUGUAAUUAAAAAUAGAUUUAGAAGAGAAAAGAUUUGAACAGAUUUGGGACACCAAGGAAGAUAUAUGGAUGGAAUAAAAGCACUUGGAAAGACGCUCAACAUCCUAAGUCAUUAGAGAAAUACACACUAAAACCACAAUGAGAUACCACUGUGUACCUAUUGGAAUAGCAACAACAAACCUGUUAAUGCCAAGUGCUGGUGAAGAUAUGAAGACAAUGAAACUUGCAUACAUUGUUGGUGAGAAUGCAAAAUGGUACAACCACUUUGGGAAACAGUUUGGGAGUUUCUUAUAAAGUUAAAUAUAUACUUGCCACAUGACUCACCAAUCUCACUCCUGUGUAUUUACCCAAGAGACAUGAAAACUUAUGUUUACAAAACCUUUAUAUGAAUCUGUAUAGCAGCUUUAUUUAUAAUCUCAAAUGUCUGGAAACAAACAUUCUUCCAUUGGUGAAUGAAUAAACAAAUCGUGGAACAUCUUUCAAUGAAAUAUUACUCAGCAAUAAAAAAGGAAUGGAGUAUCGAUAGGCACAACAAGGAAGAAUUUAAAAUGCAUUGUGCUAAGAGAAAUAAGCCAGCCUCCAAGGGGUACAUACAAAUUAUAAAAUUACAUUCAUAGACCUUCUAAAAAUGGCAAAACUGUAGGUCUGGAGAACAUCAUUGGUUGCUAGGGAAUGGUGUUGGGGAAAAGAAUUGACCACAAAGAUAUAGCAUGAGGAAAUUUUUGGGAGUGAUGUAUCUGUUUUGUUUCUUAGUUGUGGUGUGAUUACAUAACUGUAUGCAUUUAUCAAAACUCAUAUAACUGUACACCAAAAGAGUAGAUUUUACUGUUUAUAAAUUGAAAAUAAAGUUUUUAAAAGAAA